UAUUAACCAGAAAACAAAGGAACAAAGCUACAAAAGUUGACAGGGAUUACUGGAGUAUAGUGAAGAGGUGUGAUAUAGAACUAAAGGCACAUUAAUUUCUUUUCUCUCUCUUUUUUUCUGAUGAGUACAGCCUAGCAUGUGCACUUCCAGCAUUGUCAGAGGCUUUACUUGACGAGUAGACCAAAAUGACUCGCUUAUAUUGCCUACUUAU